rnacentral:rRNA from 1 species
AUUGAACGCUGGCGGCAUGCCUUACACAUGCAAGUCGAACGGUAACAGGUCUUCGGAUGCUGACGAGUGGCGAACGGGUGAGUAAUACAUCGGAACGUGCCUAGUAGUGGGGGAUAACUACUCGAAAGAGUGGCUAAUACCGCAUGAGAUCUACGGAUGAAAGCAGGGGAUCGCAAGACCUUGUGCUACUAGAGCGGCCGAUGGCAGCUUAGGUAGUUGGUGGGAUAAAAGCUUACCAAGCCGACGAUCUGUAGCUGGUCUGAGCGGACGAUCCGCCACACUGGAACUGAGACACGGCCCAGACUCCUGCGGGAGGCAGCAGUGGUGAAUUUUGGACAAUGAGCGAAAGCCGAAUCUACCAAUGCCGCGUACAGGAUGAAGGCCUUCGGGUUGUAAACUGCUUUUGUACGGAACGAAAAGCCCUGAGUUAAUACCCUGGGGUCAUGACGGUACCGUAAGAAUAAGCACCGGCUAACUACGUGCCAGCCGCCGCGGUAA